AACCUUUGGAGCUNGCUCCAUNGGUUUAGCGGCGGACGGGNGAGUAACACGNGGGCAACCUGCCCUGCAGAUCGGGAUAACUCCGGGAAACCGGNGCUAAUACCGAAUAGUUUUUUGCCCCUCCUGGGGCGAAACGGAAAGACGGUUUCGGCUGUCACUGCAGGAUGGGCCCGCGGCGCAUUAGCUAGUUGGUGGGGUAAUGGCCCACCAAGGCGACGAUGCGUAGCCGACCUGAGAGGGGGAUCGGCCACACUGGGACUGAGACACGGCCCAGACUCCUACGGGAGGCAGCAGUAGGGAAUCUUCCGCAAUGGACGCAAGUCUGACGGAGCAACGCCGCGUGAGUGACGAAGGUUUUCGGAUCGUAAAACUCUGUUGUGGAGGGAAGAACAAGUAUCAANUAACUACUGGUACCUUGACGGUACCUCACCAGAAAGCCACGGCUAACUACGUGCCAGCAGCCGCGGUAAUACGUAGGUGGCAAGCGUUGUCCGGAAUUAUUGGGCGUAAAGCGCGCGCAGGAGGUCCCUUAAGUCUGAUGUGAAAGCCCACGGCCUCAACGUGGAGGGGUAUUGGAAACUGGGGGANUUGAGUGUAGAAG
rnacentral:rRNA from 1 species